GAUCCUACGGGGCGCAGCAGUAGGGAAUUUUCGUCAAUGGGCGCAAGCCUGAACGAGCAAUGCCGCGUGAACGAGGAAGGUCUUCGGAUCGUAAAGUUCUGUUGAAGGGGAAAAAGAGCGGAGAGAGGAAAUGGUCUCCGAUUGAUAUUACCCUUCGAGGAAGUCACGGCUAACUACGUGCCAGCAGCCGCGGUAAUACGUAGGUGGCGAGCGUUAUCCGGAAUGAUUGGGCGUAAAGGGUGCGUAGGCGGCCUGUUAAGUCUGGAGUGAAAGCCCGGGGCCCAACCCCGGGACUGCUUUGGAAA
rnacentral:rRNA from 1 species